rnacentral:rRNA from 1 species
AUGGCCGGCGGCGAGGGCGCCACGGCGGUGAUGUGCACGCCGGCGUUCGUGGGGCGGGUGCUGCGCAGCCGGUGGUACGUGGUGUUCGCGUCCAUGGUGGUGAUGGCGGCGUCGGGGUCCACCUACAUCUUCGCGCUCUACUCCAAGGAGCUGCGGUCCGUGCUGGGGUACAACCAGCAGACGCUCAACACGCUGGGCUUCUUCAAGGACCUGGGCACCAACGUCGGCGUCGUCUCCGGCCUGAGCAUCAACACCUUCGUCUCCCUCAUCAGCAUCUGGAACUACGCCGGCCGCGUCGGCGCCGGCUACAUGUCCGAGUUCUUCGUCGCCCGCUACAGGUUCCCGCGCCCGCUGGCCCUCACCGCCGUGCUCCUCUUCUCCUGCGUCGGCCACCUCCUCAUCGCCUUCGGCGUGCCGCAGUCCCUAUACGCCGCGUCCGUCAUCCUCGGCUUCUGCUUCGGCGCGCAGUGGCCGCUGCUCUUCUCCAUCAUCUCCGAGGUGUUCGGCCUCAAGUACUACUCCACACUCUUCAACUUUGGCUCUGCGGCCAGCCCCAUCGGCGCCUACGUGCUCAACGUGCGCAUCGCCGGCCGCAUGUACGACGCUGAGGCGGCCAGGCAGCAUGGGGGCCACGCCGCCGCCGUCGGCGACAAGAUCUGCAAGGGGGUGCAGUGCUUCAAGCACGCGUUUCUCAUAAUCACGGGGGUCACGCUCGCCGGCGCGCUCGUCUCGCUGGUGCUGGUGUGGAGGACCAGAAGCUUCUACAAGGGGGACAUCUACGCCAAGUUCAAGGUGGUGCCCGCCGCCGACGCCGACGGGAGCAACCAAGGUGGGGAAAUGGUGGAGGGUACAGUUACACAAGCCCGGGAGCCCCAGAAUGGAAACAACAAGAACCAGGAGGAUGUCAACGAUGAGGAGGAGUUUAAGUGA